rnacentral:lncRNA from 1 species
UCUUAGAGCCAAAUGUAAAUGUAAUGCUGGUGAGGUGAGGGUCCCCGUGGCCCCUUCACCAUUCAGUACUGCCCCCACCCCUUCUGCCAGUACUCAGCUUUUUCUUUCCUUUUUUCUUUUUUCUUUUUCGGUCUUUUUUUUGCCUUUUUAGGUCUGCACCUGCAGCAUAUGGAGGUUCUCAGGCUAGGGGUCGAAUUGGAGCUGUAGCCGCUGGCCUACACCACAGACACAGCAACACCAGAUCCCAGCCUUGUCUGCAACCUACACCACAGCUCAUGGCAAUGCCGAUCCUUGACCUGCUGAGUGAGGCCAGGGAUCAAACCCGCAACCUCAUGAUUCCUAGUUGGAUUCGUUUCCGCUGCGCCAUGAUGGGAACUCCUGCCUGUACUCAGCUUUAAAGAAAAAGCCUUGGACCCUCCCAUGCCCCGCCAUGGCUGACACGCUGAUGUCCAACUUGGUCCAUGCAAACUUCCUCCAACAGUUCUUCCUUACAUUGCCUGGCACUGCUUGAGGAGGGGGAAGCCCAGCAACAACCCCAGCCCUCACUCUCUAAGAAGUGGCAGCCAGGAGCCAGUUUUGUGAGAUUGAAGCCCCGCGUGAGGAGUCAUCAAAUCCAUUCCACCUGCCUCCACUAAUCAAGGUCGUUUUAACACUUACAAGCCCUCCGAGCAGCACGUAGCCUGAACCAUAAGACUUUUGCCUGAGUUAUUUUCUAGGAGCUUGGAGGCGGAGCUGCCUCUGGUUCAGCAGAGUGGGUUAAAACGCGGGGACCAUGGGGACCCUCCGGCCGGGCACCGCAGGGGCCUGUAACUUAGUUACGCCUGCGCAGAACCAUGCCUCCCAGGCCUUCCCAUUACCUUUGCCCACGUGCCCCACGCCGCUCACCGCCCGGUUGCUUUCUUCGCCUUCCCAUCCAUACCCCGCCCCUCGGCUUCGGGGAGGCAGGUUUGAGUUCUGAGAUUUAAGACUGUUCUCCGUGCCCUCACUGGGCUGCCUUGCGAAGAAACCCUCUUGGCGGGUAAACUUCAGCCUCUCCGUUCAGAGUGUGUCAACGAGACAACGUUCGCUAAGAAGACCCUGUAAUUCUCACCGGUAAGUGCUCACUUUACGCGUGCGGGGCUGUAGAUCGAGUCCUUUCUCCCAAGAUCCUUCGCAUUCGGCAGCGCUAUAAAAUCCCACUGGCGUGCGGGUAGCCGUGUCGAGAAACCGCUUGAUGUGGGCUGCUUCUGUGUCGUUUGGGUGUCUUAUUGCGGAGGCUCUCCGACUCUGCUGCAGACUAAGCCCGUGGACCGGGCUGCUUGUUAGAGAACAGAGUGCUCAUCAAUUGUUUUCAAAAGGCGAGAACCAGAAGGAGAGUGGACGCUUGCAGGAAGCCCUUCCAAGGGGGAAAGGAUGCCACAGGUCCUAAGAGAGCGCAGGCCAGCGGGACCGUCGGAGGGGAGGCAGUGCCGGGCAGAGGGAUGCAGAGCCUGGCUUUGGCGUCCGCCAAAUUGGGGUCCAGGUCCACGCUCUCAUGUCUGUGGUUGUAAAAGCUGGGAAAUCAUCCUCGCAAGCCUGUGUUCUUAUCUGUAAAAUGGAGAUACUGCCCCAUGCAGCAAAGACUGGUUGAAUAUUCCCCCAAAGCCAUUUUCUCUUCUUGCUAAGCACCCAGCCAGCUGAUACUUCCUAGCUUUCUUUGCAGAUAAAUAAGGCUCUUCCUGACCCCUAAGAAACCCUCAUACUUGUAUCCAUACUCUCUCCCCUCAAUUUCUGGCCAGAUGUGGAAGAACUGAUGAAAGACUCUGAGGUCUUAGAGAAAGAGGGGGGGCACUUAAUGGAAGGAGCCCAGGUCACUGAAUGAUUUCAUGGCCUCCUAAUUAAACCAUAUUGGACAAAACAAUUAAGAAUAAUAAAGACAUCUUUUUAUUAUAUUUAAGCCACUGAAAUUUUAGGAUUGUUACUUAUAGCAAUUAGCCUGUCCUGGCUAAUACAGACAUUAAUUCCUAAAAGUGAAGUACUGCAGUAGCAAAAGGCAAAAAUAAAAUACAUCGCAUUGGCUUAGCACCUGGUCAGAGGGAGAAGGAAAUUGAUUUCAGGAGCUGGAAUCAUGGUGGCCCAGGUUGAGCUUUAAUAAAAUAUUAGAUACAGGAGUUCCCAUCAUGGCACAGUGGAAACGAAUCCGACUAGGAACCGUGAGGUUGCAGGUUCGAUCCCCGGCCUCAAUCAGUGGAUUAAGGAUCCGGCAUUACUGUGAGCUGUGGUGUAGGUCAUAGAUGCGGCUCGGAUCCCUCAUUGCUGGGGCUCUGACGUAUGCUGGCAGCUACAGCUCUGAUUCGACCCCUAGCCUGGGAACCUACAUAUGCUGCCACUGCGGCCCUAAAAAGACUAAAUAAAUAAAAUAUUAGAUACAUAUGCAAUUAAAAACAGUCUACCUAAAAAUCUAGAACUAAUAGAUCAGUCCAAUAAGAUUAUAGGAUGAGGUCAAUGUCCAAAAAUCGAUUCUUUCAUCAUAUAUACAAUUCUUAAAGAUUCCAUUCCAUUUACAGUUAUUUCAUUAUAUUCCUGGAGUUGCACAACACAUACUUGCAGUCCGUCUCGCACGCAAGAGCUUAUACCUCCCACUCUUCCAUCCCUGUAUUGCCCUAUCCUUUCCCUCUCUCCACUGGCAACCACUACUCUUUUCUCUAUAUCUGUGAGUCUGCUUCUUUCUGUUAUAUUCACUAGUUUGCUGUAUUUUUUAGAUUCCACAGAUAAAUGAUAUCGUAUGGUAUUUGUCUUUCUCUGUCUGACUUUUUUCACUUAGCAUAAUGCUCUACAAGUCCAUUUAUGUUACUGCAAAUGAAAAUUUUUCAUUCUUUUUUAUGGCUGAAUAGUACUCCAGUGUGUAUGUGUAUAUACACACCCCACAUCUCCUUAAUCCAUUCAUCUGAUGAUGGACACUUAGGUUGCUUUUAUAUCUUGGCAACUGUAAACAAUGCUGCUAUGAACACUGGAGUGCGUACAUCUUUUCAAAUUAGUGUUUUCCUUUUCUUUUGAGAAAACUUCAUUCUGUUUUCCACAGUGGCUACACCAAUCGCAUGCCCACCAAAAGUGUACAGUGUAAACGUGUUCCCUUUUUUCCACACCCUUGCCGACAUGUUAUGUGCAUUCUUUUUGAUGGUAACCAUUCUAAGCGGUAUGAGGUGACAGUAAUUGUGGUUCUGAUUUGCAUUUCCAUGAUGUUUAGCCAUGUGGAGCAGUUUUUCAUGCGCCUGUUGACUGUUUGCAUUUCCUCUUUGGAGAAAUGUCUCUUCAGUUCUUCCGCCCAUUUUUCAACCAGGUUGGGUGGUGGUGGUUGUUUUGAUGAGUGGUAUGAACUUUUUAUAUAUGUUGGAUGUUAGUCCCUUAUCAGUCAUAUCAUUUGCAAAUAUUUUCUCCAACUCAAUAUGUUGACUUUUCAUUUUGUUGAUGGUUUCCUUUGCUAGACAAAAGCUUUUAAGUUUAAUUUAGGUCCCAUUUGUUUCUUUUUGCUUUUUUUGCUUUUUAAAUGAUUUUUUUCCAUUAUCGUUUAUUUUUGUUUACUUUAGGAAUCAGCUGCAAAAAAAUACUACUGCGAUUUAUAUCAAAGAAUGUUGUGCCUAUAUUUUCCUGUAGGAGUUCUAUAAUUUCCUGGCUUAAAUUUAGGUCAUUCAUCCACUUUUAAUUUAUUUCUGUAGUUGAUGUUAAAGACUGUUCUAAUUUCAUUAUUUUACAGGUAGUUGUCCAAUUUUCCCAACACCACUUGUUGAAGAGACUCUCUUCUCUACAUUGUAUUAUUCUUACCUCCUUUUGUUGUGGAUUAUGACCAUAAAUAUGUGGGUUUAUUUCCGGGCUCCUAUCCUGAUCCAUUGAUCUAUCUGUCUGUUUUUGCACCAGUACCAUACUGUUUCGAUUACAGUAGCUUUAUAGUAUAGUCAGGGGGCCUGAUCCCUCUAACUCUGUUCUGCUUAAAAUUGUUUUGGCUAUUUGGGAUUUUUGUGUUUCCAUAUAAAUUAAAACAAUUUUUGUUCCUGUUCUGUGAAAAAUACCUUUGGUAUUUUAACAGCAAUUGCUUUGAAUCUAUAGAUUGCCUUGGGUAGUGUGGUCAUUUUAACUAUUGAUUCUUCUUUGUACGAGCAACAAAUAGAAUAUGAAAUUUCUUAAAUUCAUCUAUAAUAGCAUGGAAAAUAAAAAAUAUUAAAUUUGGAGUUCCCGGAGUUCCUGUCGUGGCUCAGUGGUUAACGAAUCCGACUAGGAACCAUGAGGUUGUGGGUUCGAUCCCUGGCCUUGCUCAGUGGGUUAAGGAUCCAGCAUUGCUUGAGCUGUGGUGUAGAUUGCAGACAAGGCUCGUAUCCUGCAUUGCUGUGGCUCUGGCAUAGGUCGGUGGCUAUAGCUCCAAUUAGACCCCUAGCCUGGGAAUCUCCAUAUGCCCUGGAAGCAGCCCUAGAAAAGGCAAAAAGACAAAUAAAUAAAUAAAUAUUUGGAGUUCCCCUCAUGGCUCAGCAGAAACGAAUCUGACUAGGAACCAUGAGGUUCGAUUCCUGGCCUUGCUCAGUGGGUUAAUGACCUGGCGUUGCCAUGAGCUGUGGUGUAGGUCACAGACACAGCUCAGAUCUGGCAUUGCUGUGGUGUAGGCCAGCAGCUGUAGCUUCGAUUAGACCCCUAGCUUGGGAACCUCCAUAUG